rnacentral:rRNA from 1 species
AUUGAACGCUGGCGGCAUGCCUUACACAUGCAAGUCGAACGGCAGCACGGGUGCUUGCACCUGGUGGCGAGUGGCGAACGGGUGAGUAAUACAUCGGAACAUGUCCUGUAGUGGGGGAUAGCCCGGCGAAAGCCGGAUUAAUACCGCAUACGAUCCACGGAUGAAAGCGGGGGCCCUUCGGGCCUCGCGCUAUAGGGUUGGCCGAUGGCUGAUUAGCUAGUUGGUGGGGUAAAGGCCUACCAAGGCGACGAUCAGUAGCUGGUCUGAGAGGACGACCAGCCACACUGGGACUGAGACACGGCCCAGACUCCUACGGGAGGCAGCAGUGGGGAAUUUUGGACAAUGGGCGAAAGCCUGAUCCAGCAAUGCCGCGUGUGUGAAGAAGGCCUUCGGGUUGUAAAGCACUUUUGUCCGGAAAGAAAUCCUUGACUCUAAUACAGUCGGGGGAUGACGGUACCGGAAGAAUAAGCACCGGCCAACUACGUG